rnacentral:rRNA from 1 species
CCUCUUGUUACCUAUAAGAGGUCCAGCCUGCCCAGUGAAAUAUUCAACGGCCGCGGUAUCCUAACCGUGCGAAGGUAGCGUAAUCACUUGUUCUCUAAAUCGGGACUAGUAUGAAUGGCACCACGAGGGUUUUACUGUCUCCUUUUUCCAAUUAGUGAACUUAAUCUUCCCGUGAAGAAGCUGGAAUAAACCUAUAAGACGAGAAGACCCUUUGGAGCUUUAAACAAUUUAGCACCUGCACCACUGCCUUCAUAUUUCUGAAUUUAUAUCCCCCGCAGGCUGACUAAAAGUUUUAGGUUGGGGUGACCGCGGAGUAAAAUUCAUCCUCCACACUGUAAGAAUCUACUGAAUCUUAACCAAGAGACACACCUCUAAGUAUCAACAUACUGACAUCCAUUGACCCAAUAUAUUUGAUCAACGAACCAAGUUACCCUAGGGAUAACAGCGCAAUCCAUUUCAAGAGCCCCUAUCGCCAAAUGGGUUUACGACCUCGAUGUUGGAUCAGGAUUUCCCAGUGGUGCAGCCGCU